GAGGCUGUAGCUCAAGUGGUAGAGCGCAUGCUUAGCGUGCAGGAGGUCCUGGGUUCAGUCCCCAGCACCUCCU
rnacentral:tRNA from 1 species